rnacentral:lncRNA from 1 species
CGUGGACCAUGUUGGCCAGGCUGGUCUCGAACUCCUGACCUCAAGUGAUCCGCCCACCUUGGCCUUCCAAAGUGCUAGGAUUACAGGCAUGAGCCACCACCUGGCCACCCUGUGUAUCUGGAGACAGCUGCCAAGUCUAAAUUUGCAGAGGUAAGGGAAGGAGAAGCCUUGACCCAGUGGCCCCCGCUCGCCCUGCCUGCUGGGGAGAUGGGGAGCUCCUAGGACAGGGGCUGGGUCCUCAAGACGUGGCACGAGGAAGGGGGUCGCAUUAAGCCCCCAGCGGCUCCCGCACUGCGCACCCCUGGGGCGUCCCUCUGCCAGCCUCAACCCAGCCCCCUCCUAGCCGACGGGCGGUGGCAGUCUCCGUGAUAUCUUUCCGUCCCGCCGGCAGGCGGCGCCCUCCGGCCCUUGUUUCGUCGGGCCCGGACGGGGCGUGCGCGCUCAAAGGUUGCCCGGCUCUGUCGCCCGCAUUUCCUGGCCUGAAGCCCGCUGAGCCACAGCGGGGUCGCCGCGGGGUCCCGGGGCCGUGCUCCCCCGCCCCUCCCAGGAGCGCGCGGGGUGGGGCGGAACCAGGCCGGCACGCUGGGCCCUCGCCCUUCCCUCGGGCAGUCACCUGGGCACGGGCGCCGCAGGUGCCGGGCCCUCAACCUUGCGGAGCCGACAGCCGUCGAUCCUCGGGUGGCCUCGAGGUGGUGGCAGGGCCGCCCCCUGCAGUCCGGAGGCGAACGCACUUACCCGACCUCCGGAGGCAGGUUCGCCUGGGAGGAACCGCUCCGGCUUCGUCCUACACUUGCGCAAAUGUCUCCGGUAAGGGAAAGUGUUGCUUAAAUCCCAGAGAUAACCCCCGUCGAGAAGCAUCACAAGACAUAUGAACGAGUGUUUAGCUCUCAGUAUUGUUAUUGCUUCGAGUGAAAUGGUUUCGUGUGUACUUUGUGCAUUUGUAUAUAAAUAUAAACAUAUGUAUACAUUUGACAAACUCUAAGACCGGCACUUACUUGUGAUAUCUCCAGAACAGAGUUACUAUAGUUAUUUGGAAAUUGUCAGUGGGAAUCAGCCUGGCUGGUAUGAGAAUUACAGGGAGGAGGACCUGUGUGCAAUUUCAAAACGAUUUGAGAUGUUCAGUGGCAAUACAAGGUGUGGACGUUGGUUAGAUCCUGAUUUGAUGAAUGUUUUUUAAAAUGGAGAUGAUGGCCGAGUGCGGUGGCUCACACCUGUAAUCCCAGCACUUUGGGAGGCGAGGUGGGUGGAUCAUCUGAGGGCAGGAGUUCGAGACCAGCCUGGCCAACAUGGUGAACCCCUUCUCUACUAAAAAUACAAAAAUUAGCAGGGUGUGGUGGCACGCGCCUGUAAUCCCAGCUACUCGGGAAGGCUGAGGUAGGAGAAUCGCUUCAACGCCGAAGGCAGAGAUUGCAGUAAGCCGAGAUCAUGCCACUGCAUUCCAGCGUGGGAGGCAGAGCGAGACUCCGUCUCAAAAUAAAUAAAUAAAUAAAUAAAUAAAUAAAUAAAUA